CGACCAUCCAGAGCGGCCGAGAGACCUGGCUCGUCGACGCCGCAGCAACCAUCCCCCGCCGCCCCGGCGGGGAGGGUGCUCACGCCAGGACCGAUGGGAG
rnacentral:ncRNA from 2 species